rnacentral:lncRNA from 1 species
GUCUUUAAUCUGUACAAGAGUCACAAGUAUGUUUCUCUCUAGAUCAAUCCCUAUCCUCCUCCUUUCUUUCUUCCUUCUUCUCGACACGAGCUUCAGCGCCGAUCCGCUUUACCAUAUUUGCUUCGGCAAAGAUAACUACACUUCCGGUAGUCCUUUCAAAACCAAUCUCGACAGCUUGCUCACUACUCUCGUUUCCAAGGUUCCUCCCAGUGGGUUCGGAACUGGCUCAAGCGGCGAGGGGAACGAUCAAGUGUACGGGCUAGCCCUUUGCCGGGGUGACGUAUCGAGCUCCGACUGCAAAAGUUGCGUCUCCGAUGCAGGCCCAGAGCUUCUGCAGCGUUGCCCUGAGCAGAAGGGUGCUAUUAUUUGGUAUGACAGCUUUCAACUUUUAACGACUCAUGGAGUCCGCUUUGAAGUGUAAUAACCGAUGCCAAACCAACUGAAAAAAGUGAUAAUUUCAAACUACACUAAAGGUUAAUUUCUGCUUAAAAUGGCUUCAACUUCAACUAUAUUUAGUCUAAAACAUUGUUCUCUGUGGUUUGUAUAAAUUAAAAAAAUGCUCUUUAUGUAAACCGCAAUUAGUUUAACUUUUCUAGCCAUCAAUUUGCUAGGUUUUCAAUCAAAAGAUGUUCAAUUUUUUUCAAAUAGAUCAUUAAUCCAAAAGUAAAAGGCGGUGUGAUUCAUAUGUUUGCAAAAGCAUAUGCUCCGGAGGCAUAAAUCAAGUAUGUAAAAGUAAGUAAAUCAUCCGGUUCCAUUCUCAAAUUAACCAAUUCCAUUUUCCCUCGAUUGCUCCUAUACUUUCUCCUCCUCAUCCUAAUUAUUAUUACUAUUUUUACUUUGCUCUGACACGAUAUUUGAUAUGUCGAUUCAUGAUUCUCUCAAUUGGCGCGCUUAGGUAUGACAAUUGUCUCCUCAAGUAUUCCAAUGUGGAAUUCUUUGGCAAGAUCGACACCAAGAACAAGUUCUACUUGCUCAACGUGCAGGACGUGGACAUGGACUUCAUGGAAUUCUACAGGAAGAUCAAGCAACUGCUGAGUAACUUGACAGACGAAGCCGUGGCAGGUCCCAAAUUGUAUGCGUAUGGCGAACUCGGGCUCGGAGGGUACAAGACACUGUUUGGCUUGGCUCAGUGCACAAGGGAUCUAUCCGCAGAUGACUGCAAGACGUGCCUCAAGGGCGCGAUAAGUGACCUGCCGAGCUGUUGCUAUGGCAAACGAGGAGGGAGAACCGUUGGGGGGAGUUGCAACGUUAGAUAUGAGCUUUACCCUUUCGUCGAUGUUUGAGAUUGUUUGAAACUCAAUGAUCUUCGCUAAUGGAUGCAACAGGCAUGUAUGAUGGAUCAAAGUUUGAAGAAAUUAAAUCCAAUAAUGGAUGAAUCUCACGAGGAUGUUUAGUUUUUCAGGUUCAGACUUUUGUAACAAAUUUCUUGUUUUUUCCUAAAACUGCCCACUCUAACUGAGCAUGCAACAAAAGAAAGUGGUCUUAAACUUCAAUAUAACACCUUCUAAAUCCUACAUGAGAGAGAGAGAGAGAGAGAGGGGGGGGGGGGGGGGGGGGGGGGGGGGGGAAGAAAAAAAAAAAAAAGGAGGUUGUGUGGUGAUAUAUCAAUGGAGACUCAGUUUAGGUUACCAAUUAAGUAUCUCCUUGUGAGGGAUUGGUUAUGGACCUACAUGAAUUUAUUUGUGGAUUGUUGUGACUGAUAUAAAGCAUUAAUUCUUGGACUGAGUUGGGGGAAAAUUUAGCUAUAAAUUGACAAGGUCGUCAAUAUGGAUUGGGGCGGAUUAGAAUACAAGUUAUUAAACACGUGAGUUAUUGUUGACAAUCAUAAAAAAAUAUUAUCGAUAUCGAUGCAUCAAUGAUCAUUAAUCCAUUAUCCAUAUACAACGAUGUAUGGUUGGUGAUUGUCGACAAAGAUAUCAAUUAAAAGGGACAAUGGAUUACUGAUCGAAACACCAAGAGAAGGUUGGAUACUUAGAAGGCGCUGGGAUGCAAUUAUGAAAUUUGGAAUUUAAAAUCAUUGGCGAGCAAAGCUACAAGGGCCAGUAAAUCGUGAAGCAAGAAUGGAUGAAGCAACGUAUAUGGACACAAAGGAUCAAAAUGCAACUUUAAAAGGGCAACCGCUUGAAAAUAAGAUCAUGGCAUCAUGACAGCAUGGGCACAAGAUUCACAAACAAGAUUCUCAGAGAUGUGAUGAUAUGGUUAUAAUUUUGUAGGAGAAUUUUUCCUAGAUGAUUAUGGUGUGAACACUAUAAAUGCUAACGUUUCUAUAUUGGGGACCUUCUACGCACCAACACACAUACAUAUUAGCUUUCAAUGAUCUUUACAUUCUUGCAUGGUGGUUAUAGUUUUCAGACUCGCAUCUUUGAUUAAAUUCUAGCGUGUUUCUUAGUUGUAGUUUUCAAAUUCGUGUCGUUGCUUAAAUUCUGGCAUGUUUCUUUUAACAUGGGAGUCUCAUCGUCGAUUAUAUUUCAGCGUUGCAUCUUCAUGUUCUCAAGUUUUGUCAUUGAUUUAAUUUCAACAGAGUUAACAUAUAUUUUGGUUCCGUUUGGAGCACUUAUGUUCUCAGACUUUGUCAUCAGUUAAAUUCCAACAUAAUUUGGGUAUGUUUGGUUCUAUUUGAAGUAAAGUUAUAAUAUCUCUCGUCUACCAAUGAUAUUUCCUACCUGGAGUCGCCAUAGAACCUAUCUCCUCUAGUAAAAUUGAAGAGCACUUUUUGAUGAAAGAUAUUUUGUCAUAGAGUCAAAUUCCAAAGAAAUAAUCGUCAUGAUAAUUUGCAUAAAAUUAAUGAAGAUAAAAUAUUGAAGCAAUCAGAUUUCUUUGAACUGUAUAAUAUAUUAUUGAUCUCUGGGGACAGACUUAACUGCCUUUUCCAACUUAUCCCAAUAUUUCAUUUGGUACUUCUAUGAUGUAUAAGGAGUAACAUGUUGUCUAGGGCCACUUUUAACUCUCGGUGCACAUCAACAUCAUUUAUCAUCCACAGGCUGUGUGUGAUGGUGUUAUUGGCUGAAAUAUAUAUGGAGGCGUUGAGAAGGUUAAUGCCACUCAAUUGAUACUGCUUGGUGGCAAAUCUAUCUAUAGUGUGUUGGCACCAAGGAAUAUCCAUCAUUGGCCGAUCUCGUGCAUGUGAGCUGAGUUCAUGUAUGCUCUAAGAUUAGCCAUUUCAAAGAAAUGCGUUACCGCAAUAGGUAUGUGAUCAUCCACAUCAUUCCAAUCGUACCAGUAUGCUUGAAUCAACUUGUGUAUGGAGUAUCACAACAAUCGUUACGAUGAGUCCCUGCCCUCUUCACUUUGUUCAGGUUGUAUGUGAAACUUGACUUAACUAUCGAGGAUGACAAAAGAGCACGGUGGAUUUGAAUACCUUAGUUUCUCCUAGAUUGAAAGAAGGGAUGUAAAAUGUCUCAUAAAUAGAGAAAGUUUUCUUUCGAACCUUUGUGCUUUCACCUUGAUUGUAAAUUGCAUUCAUCACAAGUUCAAAUCAGUGUAGUGAGGUUGUUCUAUCUAGUCGUUUUCUUAAAUUUGCCCGUAACAUGACUAGGAAUUAUAAUAGUGAAUUAAGGACGUAUCAAGUAAACGUCCACCUCUGUACUCUUAUUUUUUAUCGCAAAAUCAUUGAUUGGUCGUGCUCGCCAACUUUGUUGAAUCGUGCGAUACAUACGAAGAAGAAAAAGUCAAUAGUUUCUGCACAUGGAUGGUGAUCACCACCAACUUCCCUUGGAACAAAUCCUAACCUCUCCGGUCAAAGCACAGAACACCGCAACGCCGCGUCCUCGGUCAUCAAGCUCGAUCCAAACGCCAACUACAUCGCUCAAGAGAGGGGUGCUGUCUGUCCGAACCGAGUCGUUGUUACAUGAAGAUCGUGAGUAGUUCGAUGAUCGCUCCUUUGCAUUGUGACAACUUCAAUGAAUGGGUAUUGCCACAAGGGGGAUAACAUGGAAUGCAAGCCAAGUCAACGAAGGGAGAAAAACAAAAGAUUAACGAGUCGAUUAGAUCUCCAAAUCUGGUGAACAACCUGUCACGAGCCAAGAAGCUCUUAAGAUGUCAAAACCAACCCCGAUUAACAACUCAUGAAAAAUAAUAUUACUUACUCUCUGUAUCCACUUCCUCUGCUUCCCCCUAUCUCUAUAUAUACAAGCGCCCUCGCCAAGACAGAGCUGCCAAUUCAAGACCUCCCAUUGAGCCUCUCUUCUGCAAUCCUGUGACAAAAAUCAGAAAUGGCAACUCUCAGAUCGUUGACUUGCUUCGUCAUUGCAGCGUUGCUGAUCGAACUAGCCGCGGCAGCUAGCUACACGGUUGGAGGCCCGAACGGCGGGUGGGACACGGCUACCAAUGUCCAGACCUGGGCAUCAUCUCAGAAGUUCUUAGCAGGAGAUACUCUGGGUAAGUAAAUAUCCCAAUGCUCCAGUUGGGAUGAUCUGCAUUCUUGAUUGUAUCUCAAGGGUUUUACUUGUGACUUGUCAUUCAACUUGUGGUAGCAUUUGCAGAUACUUUAUUCUUUCUAGAAGUGUGAAGUACUUGAAAAGCAAUGACAUUCAAAAUUGGGAUAUUACGGACGUCCAUGACUUGAUUCUCUAUAGAAAAAAACAAACAUAUAUGAUAACCCAUCAUGCUAUUUUUAGGGGGAACCCAAAAUAUUUUGUAUUCACUUCUACGAAUAGACCUUUUAUUUGAGUUUCAAUGUCAUCACGGGUAGAUCAUAAAUCCUCAAUCGGAAUGAAAGCCUCCUAAAUGAAUCUAGUCAUUGUGUGGUCCUAAAUCACACGCUUUCUAUACAAAGGGGUUCUUGCAAAAAUUUCUGUCAAAAUGGCUCUAUUUACGCACUUGAUGCUUCACUUCCAUGCCAAAAUCUAUGAGCAAGAGCAAUACAAUCGAUACUAAGCGGUGCACUCUAUUCUUUAUAGUCUUUCAGUACGCGCCAAGCCAUGAUGUAACCGAAGUCAACAAGGCAGAGUACGACUCUUGCCAAGCAACCAGCCCAAUCAAAACAAGCACUGGCGGAUCCACCACUGUUUCCCUCACAUCUCCGGGCAAGAGAUACUUCAUUUGCUCUACCCCGGGACACUGCACCGCAGGAAUGAAGCUCGAAGUAGACACCCUCGCAGCCACUUCAUCCCCACCACCAGCCGUUCCUGCCACCCCCCCAAGCACAUCUCCUGCCACCCUGCCACCCACAUCUCCAGCCACCCCACCGCAGAGAUCCCCAGCUGCUUCCCCGCCGUUGAGAUCUCCAGCAGCCUCUCCUCCAGCAGAAUCUCCGGCCAGUCCUCCACGUUCUGCUCUGGCUCCUAAAACACCCGAAUCCUCACCAGCAGCGACCCCAGGAUUGGCUCCACCAAGCGACACUUCCGUAGGAUCAGUUGCCCCGAGCGGAACUGUUGCGGAAUCACCCAAGUCAUCGGCCAACGGAGGAAGUUCGACUUUUACUUGGGCAAUAGGAGUAUGCUUUGGAGUUGUGAGCCUUCUGGCUGUGUGAGGAGCUAAACAUUCUUGCGCGAUUCUUUUAGAUGUCUGCAUUUGAUUAAAAAAAAAAAAAAUUAUCUUCCGUCACAUUUUUUCUGGUGUGUUUGAGAAGUAAUUUAUACUUUUCAAAGCAGAGAGGUGAUCAUCAUUCAUGACCCUCUAGUAAAAUAGUCAGGCAGCUUUUACAUAAGCAUGAGCGCUGGGGUAUCUUAUAACUAGAUUACUUCGGCGACAAUCCAACAAGGUAAUCUAAUUCUAAUAAGAAUUACGAAAAAGGGCAGUCUCGACAAGGACAGUCCAACCAGAGAUAGAAAUUUUGCGCGCAUUGGCCACUUCCUCAGGACUGAAGCAUUGCCAUUAGUUGAGUGAGUCAUGCAAUGACUUUCAGAUGAGAUGAGCCCCACACCCUAAAUCGCCACCAAGGCCAUCCAUCUAGCUAGAGCUCUAUCGCUGCCGUCGUGAAGUAAAAUCCCAUCAUGAACUUUACAGUUGGAACAUCUACAACGUGGGCACGGAGGCCUUUCCUAAGAAUUGGUGGUAAUUGCUAGCUGCCAGAAGUCAAACGAUUCUGUCCCCCAUCUACGCUCCUGGCCUUUAAUUUCUGACUCUGCCGAAAUUAGGAUGGCCUUCGGACUACAUACCAAAUCUCCGUAUAUUGAAAGUUGACUCUAUCCAAUUCUGAGUGGCAAUGUCAAAGGAAAAGAUGCAAGAUGACCCUUACAUACAUUCCAUUCGCCAAUUCUACUUUGGGAUAAUUUUAGAGUCAACUAUAGAGUAUGCAUCAGACCUUGGUUGCAAUGAUAAUAACUCGUCCAGAUGAGGAGAGUAUAUCCACGGUAUCACCUCAUAUAUAUCUCCAUCCCAUCUAAAAUAUCUGUCACAUGGCAACGUAUGGACAUCACAUGGAUAACUGGCUCAGUUAUGGAAGAAAGAUCCAACUCAACUCCCAUUUCUUCUUGGUAGGAUGGGAUAAAGAACGUGACUCCAUCUGCCACUGGAUGCUUGAGAUCGCCUCACAAUAACCAAGGGAGAAGCCCCAUUCCAAGUCCAACCACCACAUGCGGCUCCUCGAGUUACAUUAAUUUAUGAAGGCCUCCUUUUCGGGUUGGUUCUUCAUUGAGCCCAGAAGAGGGAAAGCCGAAAAGGAAAGAUGCAGAGCAUGUUCCAGCAGAAAUUUUGUUCUGGCCAAAAGAAAGAGUUGAUUCCAGCACGAUUUGGUUUACUGUUGAGACGUGCGGAGGAAGAACGAUACAGUGUAAAAGAUGCCAAGAAUCAUCCCAUCGAAAGAGAUCAACGUAGUCAAGACGAAGUGACCCAAUUGACAAUCUUGGCAUGGAAAAAGCAACGACAUCGUGAAUUCCACAGGAAUGCUUUACUCGAGCACAUAGUAAUAAGACCUUCAACCAAAUAAUGAAGAGAUUCGAAAGAGAAUCCUAUGUUGCAAAGGACAAAAGCGAAAAAGGAGUGAUUUUUGGCUAAUUUCCAGGAAAAAGAAACAGCGCCACCAACCACCCAAAUUACACCUCCGUCAUCUGUACACAGCCCAUCCCAGAUCAAGCUAAAUCCCUCACUCUAAAAACCCACAAAUCUAUCUUCGCCUCUUAAAAUGAGAAAAAAGAAAAUUCGAUGCACUGUGUCUCGACUAAUUCUUAAGAUGAAGAAAGAACAGCUAAGCUAAGCUAAGCUAAGCAUGCACAGGACCUGGAGUCACCACCACCGGGCUCGGCGGGCUUGUGUAGGGCGGCGCCGCACCUGUCGUAGCUGGCGGAGGCGGCGGCGGAGGCGGCAACUCCGCUGGCGGCGGAGGCGGCAAUUCCGCUGGCGGCGCAGGCGGGGGAGAGAGUGGCAAUGAGGGCGACGCCGGCGGGGGGGCGGCGGGGUUCGCGAUGGGCGGGCUCAGGAUCGGGACGGGCGGUGGUGGGUACGAUGAGGUAGCGGUGGAGGCGGUCGGGCUGGGAGGAGGGUUGGAGCUAGCUGGGGCAGGCUGGGUGGACGAGGACCCGGAAUCGGGGGGAGAAGGGUAGACCGGGGUGGUGGUCGGGUCGGUGGGGGUGGCGGGGGUGACGAUGGGGGAGGAGAAGGUGCAGGAGGAGGAGUCGCCGGAGCACUGGUGGGCGUGGGAGUGGUGGUGGAGGGAGUGACGCAAGGGGCCGAAGCCGAUGACGAGGCCGAGGACGACGAGCGCCGUGACGAUGAAGAUGAAGAUCUUGGUCGCUUUCCCGACAUAACACAUUCUGCCCCGGUCUGUCCUCGGAUUCUGCUAUGGGAUAAAGCAGGAACCUUUGAUCGGUUUCUCUGACGCGGAGACGGGUCAGGAGUCCUGGCGUAGCUCUUCUUCCGUUGCUUUCAAGAGAGGAGGAGACGGGAUGGGGUCCGGAUGCGCUGCGCUGGUCUCUUUGGAGGUGCUGGGGGGUCCUCUUUUCCUCUUGUUUUUUGCGUCUUUGGGUGUUGCUUUCGUCGUUUUCUCAUGGCGAUCCCGGAGAGGAGGAGGAGGGGGAGGAGGGAGGAGAUGGAGGGUGAGUUUGCAUUUGGUGGUAAGGUCUGGUGUUCUGGUCUGGUCCGUGGGUAUGUGUGCUGUGCUGUGCUUUUUGCGAGGGUGGCACGUGAACCCCAUUACGGGACAAACGCUCCCGUUAAAAAACCGACCUUUGUUUACCAUGCGACGACCACCAUCAUGGGUUUCGUGGCAUCAAGUGACUAAAACAAAUGAGGAAUCGCGACCCCUUUUCGAUCCUUUUCAUGUCCUUAAAAGUCGAGUUUUUUUUUCUGCUGACAAGCGGCGGGGAGAGGCGUCCCUGCUGCCGUUCUGAUUCGGCGAGCUCGGGCGUGUCAGGAGGUUUUUGCUGCUCGAGAUGCCCCCCCGAUACGAAGAAAACGGGGCUCGGCGAGAGUCCAGUAUGUAGGCCGCUCGCUCGCUGGGAGUGCGAAACGGCCGACCAGUGGAAGUACGCCGCGCGUUCAGACAAGAGGCGUCGGAUCUUUAAUUCGCGAGAAUUUUCUUACACAAUGAGCGGGUCCCGUGCCGUACCGGAGUGGUUGCCAAACUAGUACACCUUUGAAAAGUUGUUAAUACUUCACCUCACCUUUGACCAAAAAAAGAAAAAUACUUCACCUCACCCGGACGAGUUGGCUUUCCGUAGCGUUCACCGACGCAAGUGAUUCGUUUUGUCUGGAAUUAGUGAGCUACUUCGUCGACGGCACGGUCGCACCUGACAGAUUAGUUGUCGAUCCUAGUGGUGCGAGCGCUCGCCAUGAGCGGUCGGAGCGAUUGGAGAGAGCAAGAAAACGUGCCAAAUGACAGCUCUAGCCUCCGCGGACUGGAGCCUCAUCGCGGCACUGACUAGAGGUGUUAAAAUGGAUACACAACUCAUUUAUGAACCAAUGUUUGCUUAAAUUGGUCAUUAAUGGGUCAUGCUUUAUUUCUCAAGACACUCAUGAUGGGUUUUAAAAAUAAAAUGACUAAAAUAUAUGAGUUUUAAAUGGAUUUAAUUUGUACUCAUUUAAGAUCCAUUUAUCAAUCCAUUAAAAAUGAACUCGCAAUCUAGUCUAUCCUACCCCUUUUUCGCUUCAACAAAUCUGAUUUUCGUUGCCAACUCCAUUGCUCGUUGAUGCUUGCAACCGACGGCAUUAGCGAUGGGGGCCAGGAGGAAGAGGAGGAGGGCCGCCGCGGGGAGGUGCCGGAGGAGGGGUUGUGGAGAAGAGGAGGAAGCCAUUAAAGAGAGAGAGGGGGGGGGAGAGGGGGAAGGGGGUAUGAGUCUAGUAUGGGUCGAAAAAAAUUAUAUUAUGCUUAAAUUGGUCAUAAAUUGAUUAAUGGGUCAAUUUGGAUCGAACCAUUAAUGACCCGAUCCAAACCCAACCUGACCCACUCGUUUAAUAGCUCUACCAAUGGCCACUCUACUGUAGCUUAUACCCCUUCUCUUGCUGAAAGAACCUUUUUUGAGUUGCAGAUGCAUUUCUUAGUUAGGAUGGUUGUUCUUGUGUUUUGCCAAAAAUGGUCGUCGACAAAAGACCUUUCACCAAACGUUGGAUCUUUGGUUUUUAAAGUGAAUUGGGCUAUAUGAUGAUUUAAACAGGAAACAAUAGGUGGGGAAUAUAUUGCUAAUGCUAACUAAAUAAAAAGAAUAAAUAAUUACGAAUAAAGAUUGAUAAGUCGUAAACUAAAUUGAAUUACAAAAAUUUGAUAAAUGUUAUUGAUCGUGGAUCAUCUACAAUCAAUUAUACUCUGCCUUAUAUAGCCUUGUACAAAGUGUAACCAUCAACAAGCGAUUAUCUUCUAAAUCACAAUUUACAAUUGCCUCCAAAAUUCUUGGCAUCCCACUCACAAUCUUUAAUUGCAUACUCUUAUUCAUAAGCAAUUAUAAUAUUGACGAUUUCUCUCAAAUUUGAUUUUCUUCAGACAUGAUGGAACAAUUGUACGUCGACGGUUAUUGACUACUCGACAUCAUUCUUACAGUGCAUUGGUUUUUUUUGUCAAUACGUUGCAAUUAUUAGAAUUGGCAUUUCUCAUAAGCCUUUUUUAUACAUUAUCCUAAUUUAAUAUGCAAAUUUUCAUUUUUGCUUAUGUGUUUUUUAAACACUAAAUUUAGAAUCCGGACAGCAAUAUCUCACUCUCAAAAAGUAAUAAGAAUAUUUACUGAAGAAAUAAAUAAAAGCUAUCCAAUAAUCUGAGGUAAAUAGUUAUUGAAUAUUGACUGAAUAUUCUAGAAGCUAUCAUGACCCUCUUGACAUAGGCAUGUCAGGAAAAUAGCGGGACUAGAGCUAUCGUCGAGUUAGAGACCAACGGUCCUCAAUCGGUGCGAGGUCUCCUGAAACCUUACUAAUCAAUGAUCAACCUCUAGCAUCCCUGCUUAACUUUUCUUCUUGGAGGGAAAAGGAUAAAGCUGCUGAUUUCCCCACGCACAAGUUAAGGACAAUGGCUGGAAGAAAGAGCAAAAGCGUGGGCAGUGACUGGAAAAGCCAUUGCCGACGCACAUAUAUAACCAGAAGAUGAACAUUCAUGAUUGAGAGAUGUUCAUGACAUUGGCCUCUUCAUACCAUGAGAGAGUCUCGACCACCCGUUGCAUUCCUUGCUGGAGGUGUCCUUCAUAUCAUGGAAAAAAGCCUAUAUGCGACCACAAGCGUAUGAGAAAAAUCUCCACAAGAAACAAAAUAGACUAGAUUUUUCUUUGCGAAUGAGGGUCUUCAUUACAUCCUUCGUAUGGAAACAUACAAGCCCGGAUAGACACAAGGAGUUGCCAUUCAAAAGCAUUGACAGGCCGAAGGCAACGAAGGAGAGAAGUCGCGGCCAUCAUGAUGAGCAUCUUAAAUUCUGCAUCACCUGCCGAAAUGGGGUUGAAAUGUAAGUUCUUCCGCGGAGAACUCGGUUGGGAUUUGACAGUGGUCAAUCACAGGGUACAAGAAGCCAGGCAAGUGGAGAGGCUUAGUUAUGGGAAAGCUCUCUCAUUCAGCUCUGGCAGCGCAUUCAAAAAUCCCAAAGCAGUGGCGUCCGCGGUGCCCACGAAAUCAGAGGCAAGUGAUCCCUUUGCUCAGCCUUGAUUCAAUUAAAUGUUAUGUCUCGUUUCAAAAGUUGAAGCAUCCCAUUAAGAUUAGCAAUUUAGCGUGGACUUUCAUGUAGCAUUGUCAGAAUGCGGAAAUAACACUAGAUAGUCCGUCUGUCCAAAACUCCAGACCCAAAUGACUGCAGCCACGUUGUAUCAUUUGUACCUGUUUUCUCCAAUUUCCAGGGGCGGUACUUGCACCAUAAUUGUUUCCGAAAAGUUUAUCUUCCAUUCCAACAUCUCUCUAUACGACUUCUUGUCGUGAUUAUUUCCUCCAUAUAUCCCAUCUCUCACAUUCUGGAUAUUCCGAAAGCAAUGCGGAGAGAAACUUUAAUCAAAAGAGACGCUCUAAACCUAAUUGUCAUUACAAUGUGCAGGCUAAAACAUCUCCCCGUGCAUAUGAUGAGAAGAUGUUAGCAAACUAUGUACCAAUCUAUGUAAUGCUCCCUGUAAGUACCAAUAAAUCUUUUCCAAUGAAAAACGCAAAAUGCAACUAAAGAUGGCAAAUAAUUAACUCUACUACCAAUGCUUACUUUCAGCUGGAUGUCGUCACAGUUGAUAACACUCUCAAGGACGAAGAUGGGAUAGAGCAGCAGCUCAAGAAGCUGAGCACAGCAGGCAUUGAUGGAAUAAUGGUUGAUGUCUGGUGGGGAAUCGUGGAAUCCAAAGGUCCUAAACAGUAUGACUGGACUGCAUAUAGGAGCCUGUUUCAGAUUGCUCAACGAUGCAAUCUGAAGAUACAAGCUAUAAUGUCGUUCCACCAAUGUGGUGGGAAUGUCGGAGAUGCGGUAAACAUCCCAAUUCCUCAAUGGGUACUUGGCAUUGGAGAAAAAGACCCUGAUAUAUUCUACACAAAUAAAAAUGGCAACAGGAACAGAGAAUGUCUCACAAUCGGUGUGAGUAACCAACCUCUCUUUUAUGGAAGAACUGCUGUGCAGGUGAUUAUGAGCUUCAUUUUUAUCAUAUUUGAGUCUUGCAUAGCUACAGCUAGCCACUGAAAUAGUUGAGUUGGCUGUAAGAUAAGAAUCAUGAUAUCAUAUCCUAAGGAAAGAAUCAUGAUAUCAUAUCCUAAGGAAAAUCUCAAAAUCCAACUUGAGUUUCCUCACCCAUAUCAAUAUGUAUCCCCACUUUUCAAAACCUGCAAUUUGCACCUCAAGACAAAAUCUAAAGCUUAAAAGACUCAUUUGCUCCUCUUUCAAACAGAAAACCACACAAAAACUACCCACCACCACCUAACCAAUCCAAGGUCCACCAUACCCAAGCACAUUUGGCGCUGCACACCACCAACUGAUGCCCUGCUCGACAAUGCCGCACCAACCAACCACACACUGACCACCAUGAUCC